AGAGUUUGAUCAUGGCUCAGAACGUACGCUGGCGGCACGCCUAACACAUGCAAGUCGAACGAAGUAGCAAUACUUAGUGGCAGACGGGUGAGUAACAUGUAGGUAUCUACCCUUUGGCCUGGAAUAACACGAGGAAACUUGUGCUAAUACUGGAUAAGUCUUUACGGAGAAAGCUUUAUGCACCAUUGGAUGAGCCUGCACUUGAUUAGUUUGUUGGUAGGGUAAUGGCCUACCAAGACUUUGAUCAAUAGCUGAUUUGAGAGGAUGAUCAGCCACAUUGGGACUGAGACACGGCCCAAACUCCUACGGGAGGCAGCAGUGGGGAAUCUUGCACAAUGGAGGAAACUCUGAUGCAGCGAUGCCGCGUGAGUGAAGAAGGCCUUUGGGUUGUAAAGCUCUUUCGUCGGGGAAGAAAAUGACUGUACCCGAAUAAGAAGGUCCGGCUAACUUCGUGCCAGCAGCCGCGGUAAUACGAAGGGACCUAGCGUAGUUCGGAAUUACUGGGCUUAAAGAGUUCGUAGGUGGUUGAAAAAGUUGGUGGUGAAAUCCCAGAGCUUAACUCUGGAACUGCCAUCAAAACUUUUCAGCUAGAGUUUGAUAGAGGAAAGCAGAAUUUCUAGUGUAGAGGUGAAAUUCGUAGAUAUUAGAAAGAAUACCAAUUGCGAAGGCAGCUUUCUGGAUCAUUACUGACACUGAGGAACGAAAGCAUGGGUAGCGAAGAGGAUUAGAUACCCUCGUAGUCCAUGCCGUAAACGAUGUGUGUUAGACGUUGGAAAUUUAUUUUCAGUGUCGCAGCGAAAGCAAUAAACACACCGCCUGGGGAGUACGACCGCAAGGUUAAAACUCAAAUGAAUUGACGGGGACCCGCACAAGUAGUGGAGCAUGUGGUUUAAUUCGAAGAUACGCGCAGAACCUUACCAACACUUGACAUGUUCGUCGCGACUUUAAGAGAUUAAAGUUUUCGGUUCGGCCGGACGAAACACAGGUGCUGCAUGGCUGUCGUCAGCUCGUGUCGUGAGAUGUUGGGUUAAGUCCCGCAACGAGCGCAACCCUCACUUUUAGUUGCCAUCAUUUAGUUGGGCACUCUGAAAGAACUGCCAGUGAUAAGCUGGAGGAAGGUGGGGAUGACGUCAAGUCCUCAUGGCCCUUACGUGUUGGGCUACACACGUGCUACAAUGGUAUCUACAACAGGAAGCAAAACGGCGACGUUAAGCAAAUCCUUAAAAGAUACCUCAGUUCGGAUUGCACUCUGCAACUCGAGUGCAUGAAGCUGGAAUUACUAGUAAUCGUGGAUCAGCGUGCCACGGUGAAUGCGUUCCCGGGUCUUGUACACACCGCCCGUCACACCAUGGGAGUUGGUUCUACCUUAAGGCAAGGUUUAAAAUCCUUGACCACGGUAUAGUCAGCGACUGGGGUGAAGUCGUAACAAGGUAGCCGUA
rnacentral:rRNA from 1 species